rnacentral:lncRNA from 1 species
CACCCUUCCAUCAGCUGGGGUUAGGUUGCUGCAUUUUCCAGGCAAUGGAUUAAAAAAUGAGAUUGAAAAAUGAGUUUAGCAUAUGACUGUCAUGCAUCAUUUAUUUUAUUUUUUUUUCUUUUAAAAGCUAACUGGAAGGUCCAUCUACAGGUUGUUGCCUUGCGUAUCAGAGAAAUGGAAUUUAAAUUACCAUAAGAGCAGUUAAUAAUCCCUGUGUACUCAAGACCUCUGUUUUUCAUGGGAUAUGAAGAGCGGAUAAUUGGAAUUUCUGCAGACAUCAGAAGAGAUUUUAAGUGUAAAGACAAGAUUGUUGUGCGUGGAAACACACAGCCCUAGAACCAGCCAUUGUGCCUUUCUGGGAGGAGAUUCUUCAGGACUUGCUUGAAAUCAUCUUGCUUGGAUUUGCAGGGCGUGUAUCUCCUGAAACAACUACAGCUUGAUUGAUAUUCUCUCCAAAAAGGAAAGAUUAUUCAUACCAUGUAGUGACACAAGGGCUCUGAAUGACAACAUUACUCAAGCGCUGCACUUCAGCUGCUUCACUGAGUGCUAUAGGACUUUCUGUCUAUUGGAUCACUGGACAUGUAAAAAUUACUUCGACAUUUGCUUUUGCCAGCAGAGGAGUCCAUUAAAUACAAUGAAUCUCUUUGCUCAUGUUAGGAAGAGGAUGAUAGAGAAGAUGACCCUUUCUAAAGGUAAGACACAAUUUAAGUAAUUUUAUAUUUUGUUGCAAAGUUUGCAUGCAAAACAAGAUGUGAGCUCUUCAUGUGAGCUUGUUUUUCUUCUUUUGGCUUAUUUUGAGUAGGUUUUUAACCAAUGGGGAUAAUGACCUUCAAAACAUAAAUUAUACAACCAAGACCUCAAAUGUGAUGGGAACUGCCAUUUGUUUUUUCCUUUCUAAAUAACUGCUUAUUUUCAAGUGAUCAUCACAACACACCCUAGGAAAACUUGUGUUACUGUAAACCCUGGAAGGAAUACAGCAGUGGACUGCUUACCUUAGUGAUGAUUUUUUAUUGUUGGUGUCAUCCAGGCAUUCAGGUGGGCAGUACUAAAUACUAAAGCAUUUAUGCGCUUUUACUUUGAGUCAUUAGGACAGACUCUGGAAAACAGAAAGCAAAUGCUAAACAGUUGCACUCUGUCAUGAGUCAAUUUCAGUUCUCAGCAUUAAACUUUAGAAAGAAUUUUUUUUCUUUUGAUUUCUUCUGGCUUUUGUAGGCAUAUUUAUUGUGUG